UCGCCUAACCAUCUGCUUAAUGCUAUUUUCCCGUUCAUGAGGGCGUUGACAAGUUGCUCUUAACAGUGCAGUUACUUGCCUGUCAUUCAAUUUCUUUGUGUAUCUUUGUCCUUCAACAAUCCUACAAAGCUCCAUAGGCAAAUAAAUGGGCUUUGAAUCACUCCCAGCUUGAAGGGCAGGCAAGGACGUAUAUUGGAGCCCAAUAUUGUAUCUCGCACGAAAAUACUGAACAACUGACACAUCUGAACUAUUAUCAUCAGGAGUGAAGAAUGUUUGACUCAUUGGCUUAUUGGAUACACCAGUGAUCUUGUAGCUUUUAG
rnacentral:misc_RNA from 1 species